rnacentral:rRNA from 1 species
GCGUAUAUUAAGUUGUUGCAGUUAAAAAGCUCGUAGUUGAAUUUCGGGGUCAGCAGGUUGGUCGUGCCACUGGUAUGAACUGGUUUCGCUGAUUCCUCCUUUCUGAAGAACUGUAAUGUCAUUAAUUUGGUGUUGCAGGGAAACAGGACUGUUACUUUGAAAAAAUUAGAGUGUUUAAAGCAGGCUAACGCUUGAAUACAUUAGCAUGGAAUAAUGAAAUAGGACGUUCAAUCCUAUUUUGUUGGUUUCUAGGAUUGACGUAAUGAUUAAUAGGGAUAGUUGGGGGCAUUAGUAUUCAAUUGUCAGAGGUGAAAUUCUUGGAUUUAUUGAAGACUAACUACUGCGAAAGCAUUUGCCAAGGAUGUUUUCAUUAAUCAAGAACGAAAGUUAGGGGAUCGAAGACGAUCAGAUACCGUCGUAGUCUUAACCAUAAA